UACGAAGGGGGCUAGCGUUGUUCGGAAUUACUGGGCGUAAAGCGCGCGUAGGCGGAUUUGUAAGUCAGGGGUGAAAUCCCGGGGCUCAACCUCGGAACUGCCUUUGAUACUGCAAGUCUCGAGUCCGAUAGAGGUGAGUGGAAUUCCUAGUGUAGAGGUGAAAUUCGUAGAUAUCAGGAGGAACACCAGUGGCGAAGGCGGUGGUCUGGGCCGGAACUGACGCUGUAGAGCGAAAGCGUGGGGAGCGAACAGG
rnacentral:rRNA from 1 species